UACAGGUGGAGCUGGAUACGAGUCAGACCUGUGAACUAACUCCCUGCAACGGAGGGAGGGAGUGAUCACAUCGUCUCUUUGGCUCUGCAGAUCCAAGUCAACUCAAACGGCAAGCACGUGGGUCAGAGUGAAGUAGAGUUGGAUGCACCCUCAGAUUCAGCAGCCNACCACUGGCAUCUCUUUUUCCCCCUUCCACGGUGGUACAUGGAAUAAAAACACACCCCGGGCUUGCCNGAACACCAAGGAAACAUUCAUAUCCAUGGAGGGACACUGCAUGCACUGUUUCUAGAACCUGCUGUGGCUUCACAAGGAGGAGCCCUCCCUCGACGAGCAGCCAUCCAGAAUCCAGAGAGGAGCCUUCACUAACCUUGAGUGGG